GUGUGUGUAUGGACUCAGCAAUCUGUGUGUGUAUGGACUCAGCAGUCUGUGUGUGUGUGGCGUGGCUUAACAUGCGACAGGGGCGGGGUCAAACUGCGGCGAGGGCGGAGUUAAAUGUGCCCCCCUACUUUUGUCACUGGCCCUCCAUGUGCCCCCCCGAAAAAUUAAUCCUAGAGACUCCACUGCAGACAUAUCGAAUUGCGAUAGUUGCAUUAAGACUAC